rnacentral:ncRNA from 2 species
UAUAUUUGCAUCGAGCAAGGUUCCCCGCCGGCGGCUGCCGGCCCGGGAUCAAAAGGGAACACCUGUGCGAAUCAGGGGCUAUUCCCGUAGCUGUAAGCUCCGUAAACGACCGCAUACUCUUGAGCCACUGUCCCGCCGGGACGGGAAGGCAUGCGGAGGGGGCGAGCCAGAAGACCUGCCUUGCCGGAUGAGGCUCC